CAGUAGCCACGGUAAUACGUAGGUGGCAAGCGUUGUCCGGAAUUAUUGGGCGUAAAGGGCUCGCAGGCGGUUUCUUAAGUCUGAUGUGAAAGCCCCCGGCUCAACCGGGGAGGGUCAUUGGAAACUGGGAAACUUGAGUGCAGAAGAGGAGAGUGGAAUUCCACGUGUAGCGGUGAAAUGCGUAGAGAUGUGGAGGAACACCGGUGGCGAAGGCGACUCUCUGGUCUGUAACUGACGCUGAGGAGCGAAAGCGUGGGGAGCGAACAGGAUUAGAUACCCCAGUAGUCCCUGUCUCUUAUAC
rnacentral:rRNA from 1 species